rnacentral:lncRNA from 1 species
GAAAAACAAUACACUGAAAUGUUGCAACAAGAGCGUGCUGGUGUUUUUUUUUCCCCACAAGCGGUGAAAACUGAAUCAGGGCAUAGUAAACUGUAUGCAUGACAUAGUUUUUAUGUAAUGCAUUACGCAUAAUUCACUUUCUAGCGCUGCUUACUGUAUAUUGCCUGGCACUUUGUAAUAUUUUAUUUCUACGAUUCAGUAGUUAGAAGUGUACAGGAAAGACUGUUCUCGUUCCUAAUUAAUUAUUUAGCUCGAUUAAUCAAACGGGCUGCUAUCCACUGUAAGGAGGAGUGUAAUUAUUUUAGUCAUUGUCUUUACAGAAGAGCAGAAAGACUUGUGAAGAUUUGAAUCGCACGCUAUGGAAUGCGAAAGCGGGUUCUUGUCGGGCAUGAACGGUGCACAUUUCGCAGUUUGUGAUAAAAAAGUGAAUGGCCACACGUUUGAUGUACUACCCAACAAAAGAAAACGCAACAUUGAGGAAAACUACGGCACAAAGGGCUGCGUCUGUGGAGCAAAUGAAAACCAAAGGUUUGCAGCUCAGGAAACGAAUAGAAAACACGCACGUUUUGUAUCAAUUAAUGGAAACAGAGGAGUGUUUUACUCUGAGUGCUGGAAACCAAAUGGAAGCACCCUGUACCUGCCCUUCACAAACAACAUCUUGGUAAACAUGGACAAAUAUGACCAGAUCAGCAUCGAAGAGGGCUCCUUUUUCAUAGGCAAUAAUUCCGGAGAAUGCCUUCAGAAAAUGCAAGGUCAUGCAAUGCAUUGUUGGCGAUAUAAUGACCAGGAAAAGAAACUGUUUAUAGCACUAUCAUAUUUCUUUGUCAAUCCAUCUGUGUUCCAGGAAGUUGUAUGUUCUCUUGAUGGGCUGUGAGAAUUCAGUGUUGCAACAUCUGUGAUGCAGCAUUUACUCAGAUACCAGUGAUCAAAAACAUUUAAGAUUGAUCUAAAUAUACUACUUACCUGUAUAUAAGUUUUUAUGAGAAUCACUUGGCUCAGAUAUGCACUGCUAUAACUGUAAGAUAACUUGAUUGUGAUUACACUGUCACUUUAUACACAAUUAAGAAUUUCUUUCUGCAGAAGUCCAUGUACAAUAUGCACUGCAUUUUAUUUUCUUUAAGGACCCAAAUGGAUCAAUAUAGUACCAAACUUGUGAAGCCCUUGGUGACAGCUCUGCACUGUGGGCUUGGCAGCAGCUGAGAAUGCUUUGUUCACCAGCUCUUUAGUGUAGUGUAAUUUUUUGCAUUUUAAUAUUUUAUACUACUUUAAUAAGUGACUAUUUGUAGUACAGUUUCUUAAUGUUGAUUUACACCUUCCACUUUUGCAAACUUACAUUCUGAUAGUCUGUUCAAUGAGCAGUGUAGUUUAAUGGAAGAAAAAGGUUUGACUUUUGACUUGAGAAAUGCAAAAAUGGGUUGAAGUACCGGAAAAGGUUUCUCUAAUCCCAUUAUUGUAAAAUAGGGGGAAUAUUGGUUUAAGCCCUAAGAACGUUUUUGUGUAGCAGUAUUACAUUAAUAAUAUAAGUACAGUGGUUUAUUUAGAAUCAUAGAUGUUUAUGGGUUGAAACAAGAAUUCUUUAAGCUUAUUACAUGUGCUGUUUCCAUGUUGUUUUUUUAUAUUUUUUGUAUUUUUUUAUAUUGUUAUAAAUAAUCAGUCAAUGCUUUGGAAACUGUUGUCUUUUCAUUUAAAAUUGAACAAUAUUAAUUCAAAUAACAUGUGACUGCGUUAUUUAGAAAGCAUCUAAUUAUAGAAAAUAUUCAACAAAUAUACUUUGUUGUAUAUUUGUGAGAUCUGAAAACUGAAUGGUGAUAUGUUUGUGAUGUUAGGCAUUUAAAGCAUAUCUCUACUACUGUAUGUUGUUACUGAUCUUAGUAAUUAUGAACUAGGGUUUGUUCACAGGAGAAAUGUCUUAUCUUCAAACAGAAAGGACCAUCUGCUACAUAACUUCUUUCACAGCUCAGUGUAAUGAUGAAUAGGUAGGAUGCUCAAAACAGCCUUUCCUCCUUGAUUAAAUGCCAUGUCUGUUCCAGGAGAUAUACAGUACCAGUCAGAUGUUUGAGUACACCUCCUGGAAACCAGGUUUUUCAUGAUUAUCUGUGCUUUAAACUGUAAAAAUGUGUCUAUAAACACUUAAAUAUGUAAUUACAUGACACGUGUACUUCUAAUCUUCACACAAUCUCCUCUGAACAAUUGAUGUUGAAACAUCUGUACUUCUAGUUGCAUUUCUGACUUUUAACUAACCUGGGCUUCCGACUGAAAUCUGCUUGCUUUUGGUGUUUAUUUUAUUGAAAAUGAAAAAGUAACAUUUUCAGUGCAGUUUAGUUCAGAUUUAAAGUACAAAUAUGAUUUAAUUAAAUAUUUAAGUGUUUAUAGACACAGUUUAAAGCACAGAUAAUCAUAAAAAACCUGGUUUCAAGGAGGUGUACUAAACCUUUUGACUGGUACUGUAGAUGUAGACAACAAAUGGAAAAACAGCACUUUGGACAGGGAAGGGCUAAAAAUUGGUUCCAG